rnacentral:rRNA from 1 species
GAUGAACGCUGGCGGCGUGCCUAAUACAUGCAAGUCGAGCGAACAGAUGAGGAGCUUGCUCCUCUGACGUUAGCGGCGGACGGGUGAGUAACACGUGGAUAACCUACCUAUAAGACUGGGAUAACUUCGGGAAACCGGAGCUAAUACCGGAUAAUAUAUUGAACCGCAUGGUUCAAUAGUGAAAGACGGUUUUGCUGUCACUUAUAGAUGGAUCCGCGCCGCAUUAGCUAGUUGGUAAGGUAACGGCUUACCAAGGCAACGAUGCGUAGCCGACCUGAGAGGGGGAGCGGCAACAGUGGAGUUAAGACCGGGCCAGGCCCCCGACGGGGGGCGCAAGAAGGAAUUUUUCAGAAAAGGCGAAAGGCCGGAGGGAGAACGGCGGGGGGAGUAAGAAGGUUUUUCGGUUCGAAAAACUUUGUUAUGGGGAAAAAAAAAAUGUGUAAGUAACUAUGCACGUCUUGAGGGAACCUAAUAAAAAAACCACGGAUACCUACGGG